rnacentral:rRNA from 1 species
AUAAGUGAAUAGUGAAAUCUGGUGGCUCAACCAUACAGGCUAUUGUUCAAACUGUACAACUUGAGAGUGGUAGAGGUCACUGGAAUUUCUUGUGUAGGAGUGAAAUCCGUAGAUAUAAGAAGGAACACCAAUGGCGUAGGCAGGUGACUGGACCAUUUCUGACGCUAAGGCACGAAAGCGUGGGGAGCGAACCGGAUUAGAUACCCGGGUAGUCCACGCCGUAAACGAUGGAUACUG